GUACCGGUCUUACGUUGCCUCAUGCUGCCCGCAAUUCUGUACACAAAGUAACAUCUCUGUUAGAACAGUUGCCUUCUUUCAGGCGUCAUACGUUUCUUUGGGAGGAGGAAAAAUACAUAAGACAGAAAUGAUGAUAAAAGGAGGAUAAAAUAGAUGUGGCAGAGGUCCCCGGGUUGUCAUCGUGUGGAAUAUUUCUAAAUUGGCGGUCAGUCGAUUGUCACCUAAAUACCUAAAUGGAAUAAUUGGAGCUGGAUUGGCCUUAGUGGCUAUUUUUAGUUAGCAUCGAGGGGUAGCCCCUAUCUUGCUACCUAAAAAUAAUCUGAUAGCAAAUGGACCCUUGGAGGUUUUCAACUUUGACUGAGCCGGAAUAACAUGCAAAUUGGAAAAUGAGGGUCUCCGUCUUGUAGAAGGAAAAAACAGAAUGAUUAGAACGACGAAAAACAGAACGACGAAAAACAGAACGAUCAUUAGCCGUUUCGUGACCACCAAUGUGGAGCAAAUAACGCAUUAUUUCAUUGGCAGUUUGAAGGCACCGCGAAUCAUAGAGAUCGGCAUGGGGAAGACUAAUUUAUAUCAUACGACGCG
rnacentral:misc_RNA from 1 species